rnacentral:tRNA from 1 species
UGAGGAUGUAGCUCAGUGGUAAAGUUCCCCUGGGUUCAAUCACCAAUCUAAAAAAUCCAAGAGGUCCUGAGUUUGAUCCUCAGCACCACAA